AAUGAAUCGGAUGCUCCUAAAAUGAGCAUGGUAGUGCCAAGUAUUAAAAGAAGAGUUUAAAAGAGGGAGGAAUUUUACAAAAACGAUAAAUGGGGACUUCUGCCUCCUUCACCUUAGCCAGCUAUGGUGGAGUCACAAAGCCAGGAAUGGAGAAGGAAGCAUGGGAGCAGAGAAAUGUGACACAAAGCAGUGUGGUGAAAGGGCAAGUCAGGAGAAGCACUUUGGUCUGAACAGGCAUCCUUCCUUUUCCAGCCCCAGGGGUGCCCUGAGCAUUGGUGCCCUGAGCAUUGCUAUGCUCCCUUGGGCACUGCACCAAUGGGACCUCGGAUCUGGCCCUCACUCUCAGUGUCAUUUCAUCUCCUCUGUGAGCUGCUUGGGCAGGCUUUUCAAGACUCUGACUUCGUUGCUGAAGUUGGAGGUUUUCCCUAAAAGAAGGGAAGUCAUGAUACAUUGUUCAUCAUCGAGUAAAUCAAGCACCUGAGAUGUCACAUAGGUGACACGAUGCCUACACUACACAACAGUACUCUUCCCUGCCCUCCAUCCCCCAGCAAAAGGGCUACCUAUAGAAGCUGCAUGGUACUGACCUGGUCGUUAUCGGGUAUAACCAUACACACAUAAGUGCAAUGGGGACAACAAAGGCAAUAAGGGCAAAAAACAGAUUGAAGCGAUGGCCUGGAAAUUUGCUUACAGAAAGAAAAGGCACAGAGCUCUCUUGUAGGUUGUAUUCUGGGGAAAAUCCAUGCUUUGGCCAGGAAAGUCCAAGCCUAGAUGUCCACUUACAGGCAGUGUAGGGGGGUGGGGUUUAAAUAACUCUGUAAGUAUUGCACUAGGGAAAAAGAUUUGAGCAUGUGGUUAGUGGGUCUGGUGUGCAUUUUUAAUCCGUUUUCCUAAAAAGGGGGAAGAUACCUCUGGUGCUGUCCAGCUGAAGAUCAGCCGCACCUGGCAUCUUCAUGGCCACAAGUGUGGAAGCCUGGAUGUGGGACUGUGGGGGCAGCAGAACGCAAAGGGGGCUGAGGGCUCUGCUGUGGUGCUGUCUCAUCGGGCAUCUCACUUGUGCUUUGCAGGAGCAAUGCAGGGAAGGGCUGAAGAUGCUGAGAGAUGAUACGAGUGUGCGUUAUGGUCCUGAAAUGCUGUUUGGGUGCAUGAAACAGGGAGAAAUACCUGAAGGGAGUAUCCAGCUGCACGUUCUUUUCCCUUCUUUUUCCAGCUUUCAGCUGAACUGCAAAGCCAAGGGGGUCUGCUAAGAGCCUGGGCCCGUCCAUUUGUCUCUCCCCCUACUUCUCUGUCCCUAACCCCCCUCUCUCUCCCCUCCCGCAGCUCGGGAGGGUGGAGGUGCGAUUCGCUAUGCCAGUUUUUUAUUUCCAGCAUGCUUGACAGGCUGGGCGAGGAAGGCGUUAAUGUUUUCUGACAGGCCCCCUCUAAUUGUUGGAGCUUUUCUUCUCUGCCUUUUCUGUGAAAUUCUGACUUAGGCGAGCAGCAUAACAAAAUGCUCUGGCAUUGAAAUGUGCGCUUGCACUACACUGGGCUCGGGGAAACAGCAUUAUUCAUGAAGAUUUUCAGCUGUUUUUGUCUUUUAACUAACCUUUGAGUUUGAUCAGAGGCUAGCCGGGCUCCCUUUCUCAAAAGGCGGUCUUGGCAACCCGACAAUGGAGCCAAACUGUUUUCCCUGUUAAAGAGAUAACUAUGCCGUUGAGUUGGUACAUGGGGGAAAUUAAUCUUCAGGCGCAUACAAAUGAUAGGUUUACCUCGGUCUGCAAUCGCCUGCAUGGGAUUAUUAAUAGGACGCGGGUAAGGAGCAGGAAAAAUUCAGUCUGGGGCAGGGAACUUGGGGGAAGAAGAAGAAGAAAAAAAAAAUCCCAAACCCAAACCCAUCAUCCCUUUUGAUUGCAUAAAGCCUGCGAUUGAUUCCUCACCACUUGCCUUUUGCAGCAGGAAUUAGCUGUGCAUUGUGCGGGCUGACACGCUAAAAGCGAGCCCGCUUGGGAGCAAGAAGUUGCUGCGCGCUGGGACGGAGCGGGGUGGCGGCCGGGGGCGGGGGGCUCUCCCCGCUCCCCUUUGCAAAGGGCGGAGGUGUUGGGGGGGGUGGAGGGGUGGAGGAGGCAGAGAAUGCCCCCUGCCCUUCAAGGCGAGCUAAUCCCUGAAUGCACUGAGUAACAGGCGCUGCAUUAUGGAGCCCCCCAGUCCCCUCGGCGCUGCAGCGCCCGCCUGCCCUUGGGCAGGUGCCCGCUUACCGGGGGGAAAAACAACAAAAAAGGGAAAAUAAAGUUUUAUAAAAGGCUCCCCA
rnacentral:lncRNA from 1 species